rnacentral:rRNA from 1 species
CAGUCGCCGCGGUAAGACAGAGGAUGCAAGCGUUAUCCGGAAUGAUUGGGCGUAAAGCGUCUGUAGGUGGCUUUUCAAGUCCACCGUCAAAUCCCAGGGCUCAACCCCGGACAGGCGGUGGAAACUACCAAGCUAGAGUACGGUAGGGGCAGAGGGAAUUUCCGGUGGAGCAGUGAAAUGCGUUGAGAUUGGAAAGAACACCAACGGCGAAAGCACUCUGCUGGGCCGACACUGACACUGAGAGACGAACGCUAGGGGAGCAAAUGGGAUUAGAUACCCCGGUAGUCCCUGUCUCUUAUAC